UCCAGUGAUAUGAUGCUGAAUGGCCUGACGGUGUCUACUACGACGGGAAAAAGGACGGUGGCGUGGAAGAGGAGAACCUCUCAACCACCCUGGAACGUCUGCAACAGCGACAAAUCAAGGAGCUGUGCACUAGC